AUACACAGUUGCAGACUGACAGAAUCACCUUCUACUGUGGGUUCCUUUUUGGUGUCGUCGUGUUCUUCCUUAUUGAUCAAGCACUGCGCAACCCUUCCCCCCUUGUGAGUGUUUAAAGAUUCCCAGGUGAGAUCUCGGACACAGUGCAGGACCACAGUCAUUGCAUGCAACAUGUUUUCGCAUCAGAUCAGAUAUAGCAAGGAGACAGGAUUAACGUAAACUAAAAGUCAAUGUGGAGAAGCAUUAAUUUGUAAGGAAGACGAACGGUGACGAUGUCUCGGUAUCUGGAAGAUAGACGAAGCUGAAGUACCGGUGCUAGAGCUGACAGCAAGAUACAAGAUGGUUCACCCUCUAAAAAAUGUUUGGUGUUUGAAAUAUUAUAAAGGUGAACCAUCUUGUAUAAUACAAUCUUUGAAAUUGUGGGAUUUGACAAAACAAGUUCUGUCGUCAGUUCUUGAAAGGUCUGUUCGCUGCAAUUACCUUGCUUGUAGACUGCCUAUAAAAAAAUAUUUUUU